UCGAGAAUCUUCGGCAAUGGGCGAAAGCCUGACCGAGCGAUGCCGCGUGCGGGAUGAAGGCCUUCGGGUUUUAAACCGCUGUCGUAGGGGAGAAAGGGUCGUUGAAGAAACGACUUUGAUCUAUCCUAGGAGGAAGUCCGGGCUAAGUUCGUGCCAGCAGCCGCGGUAACACGAACCGGACAAACGUUAUUCGGAAUUACUGGGCUUAAAGGGUGCGUAGGCGGUGCGGUAAGUGCGGUGUGAAAUCCCACGGCUCAACCGUGGAAUUGCGCUGCAUACUGCCGUGCUAGAGGGAGACAGGGGUAAGCGGAACUGAUGGUGUAGCGGUGAAAUGCGUAGAUAUCAAGAGGAACACCUGAGGUGAAGACGGGUUGCUGGGCUGACACUGACGCUGAGGCACGAAAGCGUGGGGAGCAAAACAGGAUUAGAUACCCCCGUAGUCCCUGAGCGGGCUGGCAAGGCGCAU
rnacentral:rRNA from 1 species